ACCUGGCUGGCUUAGUUGGUAGAGUGUGCGACUCCCAGCGUUGUGCAUUUGAGCCCCAUGUUGGGUGUAGAGAUCACUUAAAAAAAAAAAAAAUCUUAAAAAUGGUAGUGGAUAAAAAUGGAUUCUUCAGGGGCGCCUGGGUGGCACAGCGGUUAAGCGUCUGCCUUCGGCUCAGGGCGUGAUCCCGGCGUUGUGGGAUCGAGCCCCACGUCAGGCU
rnacentral:tRNA from 1 species